rnacentral:rRNA from 1 species
UACGGAGGGUGCGAGCGUUGUCCGGAAUCAUUGGGCGUAAAGCGCACGUAGGCGGCUUUGUAAGUCAGAGGUGAAAGCCCGGAGCUUAACUCCGGAAUAGCCUUUGAGACUGCAUCGCUUGAAUCCGGGAGAGGUGAGUGGAAUUCCGAGUGUAGAGGUGAAAUUCGUAGAUAUUCGGAAGAACACCAGUGGCGAAGGCGGCUCACUGGACCGGUAUUGACGCUGAGGUGCGAAAGCGUGGGGAGCAAACAGG